GGCACUUGGCCUUCUAGUGCAUUACCAUUCAAAAACACAAUCUGCAAGGUUGAAGAAGCCAGAGUAUCUGGUAGGGUUCCAGUAAAUUUGUUAUUUGAUAAAUCCAGUUUCACAAGAGACUUCUGACCCAAUCCCCAUGGUAGAGAACCUCCCAAAGAAUUAGAACUUAAGUUCAAGCUUACCAAAUUAGACAAGAGCCCAAUUUGGUCGCUGAUAU
rnacentral:misc_RNA from 1 species